GGCAUGUCAGAUUCCUGGGCUUUAAAACUAGGAAGUCUGUCCAAAUUGGGUCUGGCACAGGGAAAGAGAAGGACGGAGCAGACACAAAAUUAAGAUGUAGAGAACCAGGCAGAGCCCCCAGAGAGGGGAGACACAAGCAGCUAGGAUGACCCUCAAGCUGUGAUUCUGGGUCCCCAAGAGUCCUGACUUGGGUUCUGUGACACACACCACAGCUAUCUACCCCAGAUUCCUCUCCCCAGCUUGGAUUUAAGUGCAUUUCUGGUGGUUGCAAAGAAGGAUGCUUCCUUGAGGCAAAGGCUUUGUGAAAAGCUACUUCCCGGGCAUCUUUGAGAUGGACUGCCUGCAUCCUAUGCCUGGUCAGUAUAACCCCACUGAUGGGGCCCCCUGACUUAUGGAGGGUUCACCAGUAUACUCAGCUGUUUCUUCAAGGAGACUUUACACCGGUUAACCAUUUGACAAGA
rnacentral:lncRNA from 1 species